rnacentral:tRNA from 1 species
UGUCCAGGGAUGGGAAUCGAACCCACAGUGUUACACUUACCGGGCAGAUGCCAUCUCCACUAGGCUACCCAGGAC